AUUGAACGCUGGCGGCAGGCCUAACACAUGCAAGUCGAACGAGUGGCGGACGGGUGAGUAAUGUCUGGGAAACUGCCCGAUGGAGGGGGAUAACUACUGGAAACGGUAGCUAAUACCGCAUACCAUCGGAUGUGCCCAGAUGGGAGUAGCUUGUAGGUGAGGUAACGGCUCACCUAGGCGACGAUCCCUAGCUGGUCUGAGAGGAUGACCAGACACACGGGAAGGGAGACACGGCGCAGACCCCUACGGGAGGGAGCAGGGGGGAAUAGUGCACAACGGGCGCAAGCCUGAUGCAGCCAUGCCGCGUGUAUGAAGAAGGCCUUGGGGUUGUAAAGUACUUGCAGCGGGGAGGCGUUACCCGCAGAAGAAGCACCGGCUAACUCCGUGCCAGCAGCCGCGGUAAUAC
rnacentral:rRNA from 1 species